GGUCCUAUGGGUUAAAUGGCAAAGCGCCUGCCUAGUAAGCAGGAUAUCACGAGUUCGAGUCUCGUUGGGACCU
rnacentral:tRNA from 1 species